rnacentral:pre_miRNA from 1 species
UGCGCAAGUGUGACUGUCUGGACACAGUAGUUUGGCGGUAAACGCUGUGGCGUUUGACACGAAACAGACUGAGUUCCAACCGUAG